GACGAACGCUGGCGGCGUGCUUAAUACAUGCAAGUCAACUGAACUUAGGAUGGCAAUAUUUUAAGGGAGGUGGCGCACGGGUGAGUAACACGUAGGUAAUCUGCCUUUAGGUCUGACAUAACCUACCGAAAGGUAGGCUAAAAAUCAGAUGAUGCAGCGGCUCGACAUCGAGACAGUUGUUAAAUCUUCGGAGCCUAAAGAUGAGCCUGCGUCUGAUUAGGUAGUUGGCGGUUGUAAUGGACCACCAAGCCUGCGAUCAGUAGCUGGUCUGAGAGGAUGAUCAGCCACACUGGAACUGAGACACGGUCCAGACUCCUACGGGAGGCAGCAGUAAGGAAUAUUGCUCAAUGGCCGAAGGGCUGAAGCAGCAACGCCGCGUGGAGGAUGAAAUACUUUUGUAUGUAAACUCCUGUUAAGAA
rnacentral:rRNA from 1 species